GUGUAAAGGAUGAUCCGCCUAAUAAUUUACUUUUAUUAUAUUGGUGUAUAUCUGGUUUAAUAUUAUUGCUGAAUGGCAGAAGUUGUGUAGUGUUAUUUAAGCCAAGUCUAUGUGCUGUUUAUAAAAGUAUUCAUGCGUUACAUUAAUAAGUAUUUAAUUGUAAUAUUAGAUGAUUUAGGACUUAAAAGUAAUGUUUAAUUAAUUAGUAAAUG
rnacentral:rRNA from 1 species